rnacentral:rRNA from 1 species
CCUACGGGAGGCAGCAGUGGGGAAUAUUGCGCAAUGGGCGAAAGCCUGACGCAGCGACGCCGCGUGAGGGAUGAAGGUCUUCGGAUCGUAAACCUCUGUCAGCAGGGAAGAACGGUCACUGUGCUAAUCAGCAGUGAAUUGACGGUACCUGCAAAGGAAGCACCGGCUAACUCCGUGCCAGCAGCCGCGGUAAUACGGAGGGUGCGAGCGUUAAUCGGAAUUACUGGGCGUAAAGCGCUCGUAGGCGGUAUGUCAAGUCAAGGGUGAAAUCCCCGCGCUCAACGUGGGAACUGCCUUUGAAACUGGCAAACUGGAGUGUGUGAGAGGAUAGUGGAAUGUAAGGUGUAGGAGUGAAAUGCGUAGAUAUCUGGCGGAACACCAGUGGCGAAGGCGACUAUCUGGCACAUAACUGACGCUGAGGAGCGAAAGCGUGGGUAGCAAACAGGAUUAGAUACCCGAGUAGUC